AUGAGCACAGCCCUAGACCCCAGGGUCAGACUCUGCAGGCUGGUGGGAUCAAGGCAAGAGGUGGAAGGAAAGAGCUCUGGAUUUCCUGGUUCAGUGGAUCCCAGGCAGCACAUAUAUUUCUCUGCAGUGGUCACCAUGUACAAGUCACAAUUGAAGUGUGUUCCACUGCUUUCAGGGAACACACCUACUGGCAUUACUGCUGCUAAUGGUGAUGCUCAGAAAAGAUUCAGGAAGCUCUGCUCUGAGUAAGGAUGCAAUAGGGCUUGUGAAGGCAACACAAGAACAUAUGGCAAAAUGUUUUGACAUUGUAACAGGUAGAAAAAGGGAGCUCUGAGAGUUGUUAAAAUGCAAGGAAAUCAAUCAAGUCUAGCGAGAUAAUGGUUAUGAGUGAAAGAUUUAGAGAUUAUAAAUAUAUUGGGAGGGAAAGAAAGGAAAGCAGAGAAGACAUACUAGGAAAGAAAAAAAAAAAAGAAGAGAAGAUUCAGUUUUGAAGAGGCUUUUGAAGUGACACCUGAAAGUGCUAAGAAAAAAGUGUCUAGAGGCUGCCUUAAAUGUAGACCUGGAUGAAGGGAGAAAAGGAUUAGAGAGAAACUUUGGUGAGGUCAUUUGGUAAAACAAAGAAAAAGUAGAGGGACAAGACAGGUGAUCAUAAAAACUACAUAAGCAGCAAGGAAAAGGAAUAAUCUUGUACUCUUAUUGCUGUUGUUACUAAUAGCACUUUAAAUUAAACAAAUUGUUCCUAUCUUUAACAUGGAUAAAUGGUAGAAAAGUGCACAAUGGCCUGAGUGGUAGGUUGCACUAGGGUGAUCAAGCCUUUUGAUGUUUUUGGCAAAUGGGAUAGCUGCAUGGGGUUGGGAGGGAAGUAAUAUCUUAAUCCUGUCAUGUGGGACUGCCUAGAUGAUGAGAGGAAAAGGUAUCAAAGUACCCAGAAUAGAAACAUUUCCUAAAUUUCCACGCAUCUUAGGGUCAAGCUUCUGAUAUUACAUAUAAAUAUAUAUUAUAUAUCAAUCAUGUCAGAAAAUAUUUGGAUGAAUAGAUAAUUCAAUUAGUAUCAGAGAGAGAGAUCAACAAUCUAGCUCUAUUUAAAACAUAAGGCAGGCUGCUUUAUUCAGGUUUAAAAGCCCUGCAAUUGCAAACGCAAUUUCAGUUUCUUACAGCAGGUGGUGGUAUGUGCUAUUAGAAUAAAAUAUUUGCUUCCAAGAAAGUCUGUUGCUUA
rnacentral:lncRNA from 1 species